GGGGAGGCAGCAGUGGGGAAUAUUGGGCAAUGGGCGCAAGUCUGACCCAGCGACGCCUCGUGAGGGAUGAAGGUCUUCGGAUUGUAAACCUCUUUCAGCAGGGAAGAAGCGAAAGUGACGGUACCUACAGAAGAAGCACCGGCUAACUAUGUGCCAGCAGCCGCGG
rnacentral:rRNA from 1 species